rnacentral:rRNA from 1 species
GCCCGCUGUACACGCGGAGUACAUUA